rnacentral:rRNA from 1 species
UACGUAGGGACCAAGCGUUGUUCGGAUUUACUGGGCGUAAAGGGCGCGUAGGCGGUCAGCACAAGUCAGUUGUGAAAUCUCCGGGCUUAACUCGGAAAGGUCAACCGAUACUGCGGGGCUAGAGUGCAGAAGGGGCAACUGGAAUUCUCGGUGUAGCGGUGAAAUGCGUAGAUAUCGAGAGGAACACCUGCGGCGAAGGCGG